rnacentral:rRNA from 1 species
GACGAACGCUGGCGGCGUGCCUAACACAUGCAAGUCGAACGGAAAGGCCCUGCUUUUGUGGGGUGCUCGAGUGGCGAACGGGUGAGUAACACGCGAGUAUCCUGCCCUUGUCUUUGGGAUAACUUCAGGAAACUGGGGCUCAUACAGGAUAGGAGAUACUGCUGCAUGGUGGGGGUUGGAAAGUUUCGGCGGUUGGGGCUGGAAUCGCGGCUUAUCAGCUUGUUGGUGGGGUAGUGGCUGACCAAGGUUUUGAAGGGUAGGCGGCCUGGGAGGGGGGACGGCGACAAGGGGACUGAGAGACGGCCCAGACGCCUACGGUAGGCAGCAGUGGAGAAUAUUACACAAUAGGCGGAAGCCUGAUGCAGCAGCGCCGCGUUCGUAAAGACGGCCUUCGGGUUAUGAACCGCUUUCUCCGGAGACGAAGCGGGAGUGACGGUAAUUGGUAAAGAAGCACCGGCUAACUACGUG